rnacentral:rRNA from 1 species
GAUGAACGCUGGCGGCGUGCCUAAUACAUGCAAGUCGAGCGAAUGGAUUAAGAGCUUGCUCUUAUGAAGUUAGCGGCGGACGGGUGAGUAACACGUGGGUAACCUGCCCAUAAGACUGGGAUAACUCCGGGAAACCGGGGCUAAUACCGGAUAACAUUUUGAACCGCAUGGUUCGAAAUUGAAAGGCGGCUUCGGCUGUCACUUAUGGAUGGACCCGCGUCGCAUUAGCUAGUUGGGGAGGUAACGGCUCACGAAGGCAACGAUGCGUAGCCGACCUGAGAGGGUGAGCGGCCACACUGGGACGGAGACACGGCCCAGACUCCUACGGGAGGCAGCAGUAGGGAAUCUUCCGCAAUGGACGAAAGUCUGACGGAGCAACGCCGCGUGAGUGAUGAAGGCUUUCGGGUCGUAAAACUCUGUUGUUAGGGAAGAACAAGUGCUAGUUGAAUAAGCUGGCACCUUGACGGUACCUAACCAGAAAGCCACGGCUAACUACGUGCCAGCAGCCGCGGUAA